CCUACGAGCGGCAGCAGUGAGGAAUAUUGGUCAAUGGCCGAGAGGCUGAACCAGCCAAGUCGCGUGAGGGACGACGGUUCUAUGGAUUGUAAACCUCUUUUGUCGGGGAACAAAGGCGCCCACGGGUGGGCGGAUGAGUGUACCCGAAGAAAAAGCAUCGGCUAACUCCGUGCCAGCAGCCGCGGUAAUACGGAGGAUGCGCGCGUUAUCCCGAUUUAUUGGGUUUAAAGGGUGCGUAGGCGGACAGCCAAGUCAGCGGUAAAAAUGCGGUGCUCAACGCCGUACAGCAGUUGAUACUGGGAGUCUUGAGUGGGCGAGAAGUAUGCGGAAUGCGUGGUGUAGCGGUGAAAUGCAUAGAUAUCACGCAGAACUCCGAUUGCGAAGGCAGCAUACCGGCGCCCGACUGACGCUGAGGCACGAAAGCGUGGGUAUCGAACAGGAUUAGAUACCCUUGUAGUC
rnacentral:rRNA from 1 species